rnacentral:rRNA from 1 species
CUGCGUGAAGGAGGAAUCGCUAGUAAUCGCGGAUCAGCACGCCGCGGUGAAUACGUUCCCGGGCCUUGUACACACCGCCCGUCACACCACGAGAGUUUGUAACACCCGAAGUCGGUGAGGUAACCGUAUAGGAGCCAGCCGCCUAAGGUGGGAUAGAUGAUUGGGGUGAAGUCGUAACAAGGUAGCCGUAUCGGAAGGUGCGGCUGGAUCACCUCCUUUCUAAGGA